rnacentral:rRNA from 1 species
GACGAACCGUGCGAACGUUGUUCGGAAUCACUGGGCUUAAAGGGCGCGUAGGCGGGCUGCCGCGUCCGGGGUGAAAUCCUCCCGCUCAACGGGAGAACGGCCUCGGAUACGGGCGGCCUCGAGGGGGGUAGGGGCGUCUGGAACUGUGGGUGGAGCGGUGAAAUGCGUUGAGUAUCCACAGGAACGUCCGGUGGCGAAGGCGGACAUCCUGGACCAACACUGACGCUGAGUGAGCGAAAGCCAGGGGAGCAAACGGG